UGGGUGCCUAGAAACCACCAUCUCCUCAUAUUUUGAUUGUUGCUCAGAAUGUCGUGAUAUUUAAUGGCAUUUGGGCACCAAUCAGAGCCUGAAGGAGACACCAGAUCGUCAUGAAGCAC
rnacentral:precursor_RNA from 9 species